rnacentral:lncRNA from 1 species
AGCACACAGAAGUUCCCAGGCCAGGAAUGGAAACUGCGCCAUGGCAGUGACCCAAGCCAGAGCAGUGACAAUGCUGGAUCUUUAACCACUAGGCCCCCAGGGAACUCCCAGGUACAGUCUUAAAAGGUUAGGAGUGACAGAAACACUGCAAACCAUCCGGCCGAGAGUGGGGCUCACCAGUUCAGGUGACUAAAAGCACAGCCUCACGCACCGCUGGAUUCAAGGACCAAAGCUCGGCAUAUUCUCUUUCUGUGUGGGUCUCAUUCUUUCCCUCCUCAGGCCUUCCCCGGUGUUAGGGAACAAGGGUAACCAGCUAGGUACCAUUCCAGUUCAGGGCACGCCAGAAUAAAAGACCAGACAGACAGGUAUACAUUCUAUGGUGGGGCUCUGGUUGGCUGGAUCUGGGUGACAGACUCAGCCCUAGAGAAGAGCCUGGUGAGACUGUCAGAGAGGCCCAUCUCAUGCGGCCUCUGGGCCACCACUGCACUCGACUUCUUACUGUGUAGCAUCUCCAGAACUCUGCUGGGUACUUCUGACUGUGAACUGUUCCCCAUCAGAAGCUUAACCAGCCUCCCAGGCCUGCCUGCCUGACCACCAAGAGAACAGUGGUUCUCAACCAGGCACGUGCAUCAGAACCACCCGUGGAACUUACACACACACACCCCACACACAUGUAUACAGUGAACCUGAAACUCAGGACUCUGCUACAUGUUUGCCACCAUAGUUCCAUGGAUGCCAGAGAAAGCACCAGAUUCCUGGGUCAGAGACACGGCACUUUGAACAACAUAAGCUUCAUGUUCAAGUUGGUUCCCUGGAUCCUCAGGUGCUGCAGAUCACACACAGUGGCCCAGGCAGAUACUGGGCACAUCAUGAGUUUGUGUCACAGCAGAGGUACCCCAAGGUCAAGAGACCCACAGCUCUUCUAGGAACUGCAAGCAAAUAUACCCAGCGUUGACACCAGAGUGAAGCAUUAUCUUCAUUAUCCAAGACACCAAGUAAAUCUGCCCUCUGCUCCGGAAGGAGACACUAUUUCUCUCUCACAGGCAAUCUGUUAUAUAAUCUUCCAUGAAAAGACAGUUGAAAAGAGAGUCUGAACCAAAGGGCUGUGCCCUCCGCUCACAAAACAUGUCAAAACACAAGAGAUCCAUGGGGAAUUUUCUCCUAAUACAAUCCUGGUUAAGAAGCACUGAUGCAGGAUAUUGUCUCUAUGUCUAAAUGUUCUUCAUUUUUCAAACAACUCCCUGACAAAUGAGCUCUUCUGAUCCUGCCUUACGGGUGGGGAAAGGAGCAACUGCCUUAUGAACUACCACUACACAAAAUAGUUUAUUUCUAUAUAGAAACAAACACCAGAUUCAAAUUUGCAGCUGUAGGAACAUGUGAGGGUUAAAUUAAACAACACAUGCAAAGUGCUGGUGCACGGCAGGCAAUAAAAUUUAGUUCUCUCUCUUCUAUGCUUUGCCUCCUUCAUAGCCUUGCCUGGAACUAUCCUGGCCGCACAUCAAGAAUGGCUUAGAUUUAUGUCUUUCUCCCGCUACUGGUGGCACUGCUGAAAGGAGUCCAUUGAAUCCUUUAAAUGAGUCCCAGGAGAGGCACCCAGCAGACUAGGAGGGCAAUAAAAAUGACAGAGCUGCCGGCAACCUGUUAUCUGUGAUUUUAUGAUCUGCCACUCACUUGACUUUACCAUUCCUCCUGACUCCUUUUCCUACUUCCAACCCCUCCCCAUUCUGUUGGCCUUCUCAAGGUCAACCUCGAGAGACCGUCUACACUCUGUGUUCCCUACAGCUCAAGCUCUUACUUGUUCAUUUACUUGGUAGUAAUGUACAGAUGACAUGAUCUCUUCUAUUGAAAAGUCUAAGGAAUUACACUAAAAGAACUGUCAGAGCCAAUAAGAGUAUAGUAAGGUGACAGGAUAUAAGAUCAAUAUACAAAAAUCAAUUGUAUUUCUACACACUAGCAAUGAACAAUCUGAAAAUGAAACUAAGACAAUUCUAUCUGCAAUAGCAUCAAAAAGAACACAAUACCUGGAGUUCCCGUCGUGGCGCAGUGGUUAACAAAUCCGACUAGGAACCAUGAGGUUGCGGGUUCGCUGAAUUUCAUGGCAUGUGAAUUAUAUCUUAAUAAAGCUGUUAUUAAAAAACAAACAAGGCUUCAAACUUCUGAGAUGUGUGAUAUUGAUGCCCAUGCGACCUCAUUUGUACUCAUAAGGUUGUGAAGGAAGAGAAUCUGGUUCUGUUACACACUUUAAUGGAGCAUGUUUCUUAGGUGUGGCUGCAUCUGACCCAGAGAAAAUUACACCUGGCAUCUGACCUGCUAAGAGGUCAGGUUUCUGGGGUUCAGUGCAUAAAUAACCCUAGUUCUAGAGAGAAACAAGCUAGAGGGCCCAGUGCCCCGGUAGAGCUGUUUACACCCACCCUAUUCAC